rnacentral:rRNA from 1 species
GAGUUUGAUCAUGGCUCAGAUUGAACGCUGGCGGCAGGCCUAACACAUGCAAGUCGAACGGUAACAGGAAGAAGCUUGCUUCUUUGCUGACGAGUGGCGGACGGGUGAGUAAUGUCUGGGAAACUGCCUGAUGAGGGGGAUAACUACUGGAAACGGUAGCUAAUACCGCAUAACGUCGCAAGACCAAAGAGGGGGACCUUCGGGCCUCUUGCCAUCGGAUGUGCCCAGAUGGGAUUAGCUUGUUGGUGGGGUAACGGCUCACCUAGGCGACGAUCCCUAGCUGGUCUGAGAGGAUGACCAGCCACACUGGAACUGAGACACGGUCCAGACUCCUACGGGAGGCAGCAGUGGGGAAUAUUGCACAAUGGGCGCAAGCCUGAUGCAGCCAUGCCGCGUGUAUGAAGAAGGCCUUCGGGUUGUAAAGUACUUUCAGCGGGGAGGAAGGGAGUAAAGUUAAUACCUUUGCUCAUUGACGUUACCCGCAGAAGAAGCACCGGCUAACUCCGUGCCAGCAGCCGCGGUAAUACGGAGGGUGCAAGCGUUAAUCGGAAUUACUGGGCGUAAAGCGCACGCAGGCGGUUUGUUAAGUCAGAUGUGAAAUCCCCGGGCUCAACCUGGGAACUGCAUCUGAUACUGGCAAGCUUGAGUCUCGUAGAGGGGUAGAAUUCCAGGUGUAGCGGUGAAAUGCGUAGAGAUCUGGAGGAAUACCGGUGGCGAAGGCGGCCCCCUGGACGAAGACUGACGCUCAGGUGCGAAAGCGUGGGGAGCAAACAGGAUUAGAUACCCUGGUAGUCCACGCCGUAAACGAUGUCGACUUGGAGGUUGUGCCCUUGAGGCGUGGCUUCCGGAGCUAACGCGUUAAGUCGACCGCCUGGGGAGUACGGCCGCAAGGUUAAAACUCAAAUGAAUUGACGGGGGCCCGCACAAGCGGUGGAGCAUGUGGUUUAAUUCGAUGCAACGCGAAGAACCUUACCUGGUCUUGACAUCCACGGAAGUUUUCAGAGAUGAGAAUGUGCCUUCGGGAACCGUGAGACAGGUGCUGCAUGGCUGUCGUCAGCUCGUGUUGUGAAAUGUUGGGUUAAGUCCCGCAACGAGCGCAACCCUUAUCCUUUGUUGCCAGCGGUCCGGCCGGGAACUCAAAGGAGACUGCCAGUGAUAAACUGGAGGAAGGUGGGGAUGACGUCAAGUCAUCAUGGCCCUUACGACCAGGGCUACACACGUGCUACAAUGGCGCAUACAAAGAGAAGCGACCUCGCGAGAGCAAGCGGACCUCAUAAAGUGCGUCGUAGUCCGGAUUGGAGUCUGCAACUCGACUCCAUGAAGUCGGAAUCGCUAGUAAUCGUGGAUCAGAAUGCCACGGUGAAUACGUUCCCGGGCCUUGUACACACCGCCCGUCACACCAUGGGAGUGGGUUGCAAAAGAAGUAGGUAGCUUAACCUUCGGGAGGGCGCUUACCACUUUGUGAUUCAUGACUGGGGUGAAGUCGUAACAAGGUAACCGUAGGGGAACCUGCGGUUGGAUCACC